rnacentral:rRNA from 1 species
UACGGAGGAUGCGAGCGUUAUCCGGAUUUAUUGGGUUUAAAGGGUGCGUAGGCGGGCUUUUAAGUCAGCGGUAAAAAUUCGGGGCUCAACCCCGUCCGGCCGUUGAAACUGGUGGUCUUGAGUGGGCGAGAAGAAGGCGGAAUGCGUGGUGUAGCGGUGAAAUGCAUAGAUAUCACGCAGAACCCCGAUUGCGAAGGCAGCCUUCCGGCGCCCUACUGACGCUGAGGCACGAAAGUGCGGGGAUCGAACAGG